rnacentral:rRNA from 1 species
AUGAAGGAGACGGCGGAGGAUCUACUCGCUCGUCUCACCUUGCAGGAAGAAGAAGAGGACGACUUUGUCUGGGAGGAAGAAUUACCAGAUCAGAUGGAGCCGGCGAAGUGGCUGGCAAUCGCGAGGGUGCAUACGCCAAAAACUUUCAGCCUUAAUGCACUGUACGGUGACAUGAGAGCGGCCUGGAAUCCGGCCAAAACGGUUGUAUGGAGGAGGAUCAAGGAGAAUCUGUUUACGGCACAAUUUGGUUGUCUUGCUGAUUGGAAAAAAGCCAUGCUUGAAGGACCAUGGCUAUUCCGAGACCAAGCGGUGAUUCUAGAGGAAUAUGAUGGUUUCAAAAACCCAGACUCGUUCAAGCUGGAUAAGAUUGAAGUAUGGGCUCAGAUCCACCGCCUGCACGAUAACUUUCUGAUUGAGCCGGCUGUGAAGGGGAUGGUGUCACGGAUUGGUGAGGUGAUGGAGGUGCAGCUGAAAUUGCCUGUUGGUUUCUUCGGUGAAUUCGUAAGAGUCAGGAUCAAGAUUGAUGUGAAUGCAAAAACCAAAUUGUGA